rnacentral:misc_RNA from 1 species
GGUAUACCUGUUUCCUACAACUCGCAUUAUUAGCAUUUAGCACUGACAAGAAAGUUGCAAAACUGUUCAUUCUGGAUUUGUACAUGCAUUGGGCGGAUAAUGAGCUCUCUUAACAAAAAAUUCUUCUGCAUGGCUCCUGCCUAGUCACAAAGCGGUGCUACCCGACCCCUGAAGGCUUACAAUUGGUUAGUCUCACCCGCAUAUUUCGGCUUUCAAUACUGAACUCCAACUAGGUGAAUUGCAGCUGCAGGUACCCUUGCUUCUACUUCAACGAGAAAUUGUUUAAAUUACCCACACAACUACUCUGAAGGAUAGCUAAGAAAGCAAGAUGCAAAUGACCAGCUUCGCGUCUUUUCCCAGCAUAAAGAAAUUAAAAGUUAAACCUUUAUCUUUUCAUCAACGAGAGAGAGAGAGAGAGA